rnacentral:lncRNA from 1 species
GAAUAAAUAAUAUCAAGAAUAAAUCACGCUUCUAACAAAUGGUAUCAGCCAAAUAAUGCUUCCAAUAAUAAUUAAGUUUUAAAACCUAAACGCUAAAUCUUUGUAAAUGAGUAGUAGUACCAAGAUUUUAAGUGUCCGUCGGCACGGGCCGUAUCCACUGUGUCGUAUCGUGCCAACAAAAUAUUAGCACGAUACAGACUCCGUAUCGAUGGCACGGCUCAAAACUCUCUAUUCUUUAAAUUAGUAAGUAAUUUUUUCAAUAAAAUUCAAAGGAUGUGAUAAAAAGAUAUAAUAAAUAGUUAGAAAAUUUUGUUGAUUGCUAAAGAAAAUAAAUAUUUUAUGCUAUUAAGUGUGGGCACACAAGAAUUUUUUUGACCGACACGCAUCGAUAUGGCUCGACAUGCAUCGUGUCAUAUCGUGUCUGUAAAUUUUUGACACGAUUCCGUACCAUGGCAUUUAAAUUCUUGGGUAGUA